rnacentral:rRNA from 1 species
GACGGGAGAUGCGAGCGUUGUUCGGAAUCAUUGGGCUUAAAGCGUGUGUAGGCGGCUCGGUAAGUACCUUGUGAAAUCCCACGGCUCAACCGUGGAACUGCUUGGUCUACUGCCGGGCUCGAGGUUGGUAGAGGUGCCUGGAACUCUAGGUGGAGCGGUGAAAUGCGUAGAUAUCUAGAGGAACGCCCGUGGCGAAAGCGGGGCACUGGGCCAAUCCUGACGCUGAGACACGAAAGCGUGGGGAGCAAACGGG